rnacentral:rRNA from 1 species
AUUGAACGCUGGCGGCAGGCCUAACACAUGCAAGUCGAGCGGAGCGGCGGCCGGGUGCGUAAUGCCUAGGAAUCUGUCUGGUCGUGGGGGAUAACGUCCGGAAACGGGCGCUAAUACCGCAUACUAUCAGAUGAGCCUAGGUCGGAUUAGCUAGGUGGUGGGGUAAAGGCAUCCCAAGGCGACGAUCCGGAACUGGUCUGAGAGGAUGAUCAGUCACACGUGAACUGAGACACGGUCCAGACUCCUACGGGAGGCAGCAGGGGGGAAUAUUGGACAAGGGGCGAAAGCCUGAUACAGCCAUGCCGCGUGGGGGAAGAAGGUCUUCGGAUUGUAAAGCAAUUGAAGUUGGGAGGCGUUACCAACAGAAGAAGCACCGGCUAACUGCGUGCCAGCCGCCGCGGUAAUAC